UUUGCUAGAAGUGAUUAAAAGUUGUUUAGAUAAGUAAUUCAUGGUUUAUACAAAUUUGUAUUCAAAAUGUUAUCGCGGGGGUCCACUUCCGGUUUUCGGAGAUGCACUUCCGGUCCACUUCCGGAUGUCGCGGGGGAGGAGAUCGUUCAUGGAGACUGCACGGGAACGUGGUGAAUGCCACUCACGUUGAGUUAUCACGCAGGAAUGCCUUUUCACCACACACACAGACAUAUCUGUGAAGGAAGACAAUUAAACUUUGCAGUGGAACUCCAUGGUCUUCGUUUGUGGUUUAGCUUGGUGUCACCAACAUCCCUGUUGAAAACACUACACAAUCAUAUGCAAAAGUUUGGACACCUCCUAACAAUUUCCAUCCUUUUCAUUAAUAAAUCACAAAAUCAUUGCGUGUUUGGAGCUGCUAUUAAAUAUUGACAGAUGACAUUUUUUUUCUCUUGCUGGGAAUCACCAACUCCUACCACUUAUGCCUGAGCUUGUCAUGAAGAAAGAUUUCCUGGAAGCCAUAGCUAAUGAAGCACAAGAAAUCGCAGAACGUUCCAGACGUCCUGGCAUCGUCCUUGCUGACAAGAAAGACAAAGAUGGGCCGGUGAUGCUGAAACCAGGGCGACGGUGCGUGCUGAUUGGUCCACGUCUUGCACAAUUGUGAAAUGUAUAAAAGCCGGGCAGGGAAAGAAAGGGUGCUUUUUUGCAGCUGCGCUGUACUAAGACCCAACUUACUGUUGGAAUACAGGGAAUGCAACUAAGCCCGGACGUCUGUAUUAGAUAUUGUUUGUAUCAGGAAUAAAUA